GGUCCCAGCAUGUACGCUCUUGGUGCGCCGCAACUCGCAAUGAGUAUGCGACGCCCCGGGAAUGCGAGGUAACAUAUAUUUGUGUAUCGUUACCCAUCUUCCCUUAAUUUAAUGAAUUACGAAAAUUCAAAAAAUAUUUUACUUUCAUUACGCCUUUAGGUUUAAUAAAAUCCCAAUGACUUGCGCACAUGCUAGACUCCUUGGUCCGUGUUUCAAGACGGGUCCUGUAAUUACCCAAAACAUAAACGCCGUUGACGGAUGAUAAGGAACUGUUCGAGAACAUUAUGACUAACAAUACUAUAUGUGUAGAACCGGCACAUGUCCGAUUUCCACAAUUAUUAUACAAAAUAUCAUAUAAAUAUUUGUCAUAAGUCUGAACGCUCGUGCUUAAUAAAGCAGCGACCCACCAUCAAUACAACAUACCAUCGGGUAGAUGUCGGGACAUUAUAAGUCCGGGUCGCUAAUGCCGAAACAUAACGCCACGGUCUCCAUUAUAAGCCUUAGACAACAUCAUAUAUUACCCCAAUGGGUCACGACGCCCUACAAGAGGAGAAGUGCACGCCUCCGGCUACAAACAAUAACAUUAAGUAGAGGAGCACUACAUAAAUUAUAUAGUUAUAAAAACCAUAUAAUAAUAUAAUGUCUCAUAUAUAAAAACACUACUAAAUGGUCAUAACCGGUGAGGCAAUUGAAUCUCCCCGUUCGAACUUUCGGGAACCACAGGUUUACCCCUGAACAGUUUCACGUACUCUUGAACUCUCUCUUCAAAGUUCUUUUCAACUUUCCCUCGCGGUACUUGUUCGCUAUCGGUUUCGCAGUAAUAUUUAGCCUUAGAUGGAGUUUACCACCCACUUAGAGCUGCACUCUCAAGCAACCCGACUCUAAGGAGAAACCCACCUAAAUAUAUAAACGGUCACUACAGGCCUGGCACCCUCUAUGGGCGAAUGGCCCCCUUCAAGAAGGACUUGGACGCGUUUAUAAAUACUUAGGUUAAACGGGCUCUCCCAAACACUACAUUGCCCGACGACCGUUUCCGACCGUGGGCUUCAGUGCUGGGCUUAUCCCUGUUCGCUCGCCGCUACUAAGGGAAUCCUAGUUAGUUUCUUUUCCUCC
rnacentral:rRNA from 1 species